rnacentral:rRNA from 1 species
UACGGGGGGGGCAAGCGUUGUUCGGAAUUACUGGGCGUAAAGGGCUCGUAGGCGGCCAACUAAGUCAGACGUGGAAUCCUUCGGCUUAACCGGGGAACUGCAUCUGAUACUGGAUGGCUUGAGAUUGGGAGAGGGAUGCGGAAUUCCAGGUGUAGCGGUGAAAUGCGUAGAUAUCUGGAGGAACACCGGUGGCGAAGGCGGCAUCCUGGACCAACACUGACGCUGAGGAGCGAAAGCCAGGGGAGCAAACGGG